CUGAGUAUCCUGUAGCAGAGACGGAAGAUGUACUUAUAGGCGGCGUACCGAGGGUCGUACAACUCCUCAAUCUUCAGGAACGCUUCCCCUUCUGAUGUCUCUUGGAAUGGACCCUGGGAGAUGUUAACUUUAUGUCAUACCUGACGUAGCUGCUUUGAGGCACAGGCGCGUCGGAAUGAGUCAUGGUGGUGGGGUCUAACUCGAACAGCGUGGCGAUCUCCGAUGAGUGCGGGACUGACACCAACUGAAAGGCUGGCUCGUACGGCUCCACUGGCGCUUCACUGAUGGUACAAGGUACUUACAGUGAGGUAUUUGUUGGACUUGACGUGCAGCAGUUGUAGAACGCUGCCGUACUGCACGACAGUCCCCAGCAACUUCUUGUUCUCCAACUCAUUCUGCUUCUUCUCUAUCUCAGCGGCAUGCUGUCAACAGAAAAUGAACUCUAUUUACUAAAGCGUACAGAAGUUUUUAGCAAGGCAGUUUACUUGUUAGAUAACGUCAGAUAGAAGUAUGGAAUGCAAGACCCAAAUGAGAAUGGAAUAAGGGUAGGAAGAGUUUAAGGAGAGAUUGUACCUCUACAUACCUGUGUGUAGUUUGAAAUAGAAGCGUGUUUGUGGUUUGACAGGUCUAUCUUUAGACUACUUAAGAAUUAUUUUCAAAACAAUCACUGAAAACAAGCUUCAUAACAAACUGCACACAAAUUACAUAACUGCAUAACAAUUUACAAAACCAAUACCCAAAUAUUCAGUACUGAAAAUCAGUGUUAAACGGGACUAAAUACCAGGCUUAAUUUCGUCAAUAUCUCGGUGGAAACCAGUUAACCUGAUGAGCUCUCCAGUCAGUAAUCCGUGGGAUUUUAAUUAGUCUUCAUUUGUGGGAGCAAUCACGUUGAAUCCCGGAAUUGGGUCAAAUAGGCCAAUUUGUGUGCGUAUUGUAUGCUCUGUUGAAAGGAUUGGGUUAGAAUUGCCUACACAAAGUACCUGCUAUAACGUAGGAUAAGGGAUCUUUACAGAAAAAAACCUAACAUGGAAAAAAACCUAUAUUGCCGUGUAUAUUUUUUUUUCAGAGAAAAUGACGUAGGUAUAGC